rnacentral:rRNA from 1 species
UACGUAGGGGGCAAGCGUUGUUCGGAAUUACUGGGCGUAAAGGGCGCGUAGGCGGCACAGCAAGUCGGGAGUGAAAGCCCGGGGCUCAACCCCGGAAUGGCUUUCGAAACUGCUGAGCUAGAGUACAGAAGGGGCAACCGGAAUUCCCAGUGUAGCGGUGAAAUGCGUAGAUAUUGGGAAGAACACCUGAGGCGAAGGCGGGUUGCUGGGCUGAUACUGACGCUGAGGCGCGAAAGCUAGGGGAGCAAACAGG